rfam:TPA: Bos taurus chromosome 15, whole genome shotgun sequence.
GCCCUCUUAGUGCAGUAGGCAGCGUGUCAGUCUCAUAAUCUGAAGGUCCUCAAUUAGAACCUCAGAGGGGGCA